GACGAACGCUGGCGGCGUGCUUAACACAUGCAAGUCGAACGGUAAGGCCCUUCGGGGUACACGAGUGGCGAACGGGUGAGUAACACGUGGGUGAUCUGCCCUGCACUUCGGGAUAAGCCUGGGAAACUGGGUCUAAUACCGGAUAGGACCACUGCCUGCAUGGGUGGUGGUGGAAAGCUUUUGCGGUGUGGGAUGGGCCCGCGGCCUAUCAGCUUGUUGGUGGGGUGAUGGCCUACCAAGGCGACGACGGGUAGCCGGCCUGAGAGGGUGACCGGCCACACUGGGACUGAGGUACGGCCCAGACUCCUACGGGAGGCAGCAGUGGGGAGUAUUGCACAAUGGGCGCAAGCCUGAUGCAGCGACGCCGCGUGGGGGAUGACGGCCUUCGGGUUGUAAACCUCUUUCAGCACCGACGAAGCGCAAGUGACAGUAGGUGCAGAAGAAGGACCGGCCAACUACGUGCCAGCAGCCGCCGUAA
rnacentral:rRNA from 1 species